CUCGGGGCCUCGCGCCUGCGCCCUCGGGAGCAACAGCCGUCGUCGGAGAGGCGGGAGGACGGGAUGGCGGAGCCUCUGGUGACGCCUCCGAACGACUCGAUGCAGGAGCAGGACCGGGAAGGCGCGGGAGAGCCGUCUCCCUACCAGAGACUGAGCCAGCGCAUGCAGGAUGUCACGGGAGACCGGGGCGUGCUCAAGGAGGUCAUCCGGGAGGGGGCCGGGGACGUGGUGACCCCCGACGCCUCGGUAUUAGUGAAAUACUCUGGCUACCUGGAGCACAUGGACAAGCCCUUUGACACCAACUGCUAUAGGAAGGUCCCCCGGCUGAUGAAGCUGGGAGAAGAGAUCACUCUGUGGGGAAUGGAGGUGGGCCUGCUGACCAUGCGGAAAGGGGAGCUGGCGAGAUUUCUCUUCAAACCGCGAUACGCCUACGGGGCCCUGGGCUGCCCACCCUUGAUUCCACCCAACACCACGGUUCUGUUUGAGCUGGAGCUGCUGGACUUCCUGGACUCUGCCGAGUCUGAUGAAUUCUUCGCCUUAACUGCUAAGCAGCAGGAUGUGUUCCCUCUCGAGAAGGUGCUGAAGGUGGCGGGCACAGAGCGGGAGUUUGGCAACUACCUCUUCCGCCAGAACCGCUUUCAUGACGCCAAGGAGAGAUACAAAAGGGCCUCCUUGAUUCUUUGCCGCAGGCCUUUCCACCCUGGGGAACAGGGUCAGAUAGAGAGUGCCAAGCUCCUGGUCUUCCUUAACUUGUCCUUCACUUACCUCAAGUUGGAACGACCCAGCCGGGCCCUGAUCUAUGGAGAGCAAGCCUUGGCUAUCGAUCAGAGAAAUGCGAAGGCCCUCUUCAGAUGUGGACAGGCAUGUCUCAUCAUGACUGAGUACGAGAGAGCUCGGGAUUUCCUCGUCCGAGCCCAGAGAGAACAGCCGUUGAAUCAUGACAUCAACAAUGAGCUGAAGAAGCUAGCCAGCUGUUACAGACACUACAUGGAUAAAGAGAAGGAAAUGUGCUACCGGAUAUUUUCUCCUCUUAAUUCUUCUGCCGUGCAACAGAACUGAAGGGACCUGGAGCAACAGAGACCUGGCGUGACCGACCCCAGGAGCUAAAAGAGGAGAUGCAGAGUGCGCUUGAUGGCCCGGCCUUGGCCUGGCUCCACGUGUCAAACAAAUGGGGGCUUGUGCAAAGCCCUGGCUCCCGCCCGGCCUCGCUCCUCCUCCAGGGCGCCUCCUGCCAGACUUGCACUUUCUCGUAAGGCGUCGACAGUGGCAUUUUCUGGGCCUCUGCUGCGGAUAAGAUCCUGACCUUGGGGUGGCUGGGAAAUAGCCUCCCUCCCCCGGGCCUCCUUGCAGGGAGAUUCCAGUGAAUCGGCCCUUUGUGGUGUGACUAUAAAUAGUCCCCCUUGGGGUGCGUGAGUUUUCAUUAAGACCUCUCCCUUGGAAAACAUUUUCCCCGGUCAGUUUCUUUGGCCCCCUCAUCCCUCACCACAUCCUCUGUUGGCUGUUGCCGCGGCUUCUAUUCCUGACUCACGCUCCAGCUCACUUCCUGCCCCAGGGAGGCACAGAGCCGGGCUUCAUUACACACUCCAUGCUCCAGGAGGAGGCCUGGCAAAGCCCCAGCCCUCUCCCCACCCCGAUCUGGGCAAAGGAGCUCUCUGUCGGAUGCUCCUGGAGCCGGGACUGGGGGCUCACCUGCAGUCUUGGCAAUGGACUCGGCCCAAGCGCCCACAGCCUGGCCAGGUUCAGCACAAGAACUCUGCAGGACGGCAUCGCAGGGGCAAAAAGAGCCCCAUGUCCUGGAGGAGGAGCCGGGCCCUCGCAUCUCUGAGCUCCAAGCGCCCACGUUUCCCGCCAGACUCCUCCGGUUUAAGCGGCCGGGCACAUUCCUGGUGGCCGCUGCCCUCGCCAGCUCUCCCCGCCAAAGCCGGGCAGCCCACGUGCCCGGGGAGCCUUUUUCUAACCACUCUCCGAAGGUGGGGCUCGGGGGAGCAGGACGGCUCCCGCUGGGCGCCCACUGUCCGAGGCGGCCUGGCCUGGGGGCCUGAAUAUCUGCCGCCUCCAAGUGGAGAAGCCCUUCCCUUUUCCCCCCAGGAAGUUAAAGGGGGCUUGGUUUUUGGGGGGUUGUUUUGUUUCUUAAUGGAAGCUGUUCUUGGCUUUUCUCUGGACACCCUUCCCGGCUCCUGAAGUGCUUGUGUAAAUAGUUGGAUGUGGAGCUGCGGUCAGUGUUUACAGAGGGUUUGUUGUUUCGGAGGAGAGAAUUAUGUUCAGGAUUUUGUUGUUGUGAAGAAAUAAAAAAGUUUCCUGUCCUUGGGAAUCGGUCCCAGCCAAACCUGGUGCCAGUUUGUUG